GACAGGUGUAAAUUUUGGGGAAAGAACAAAUUACAGGGUGCCAAAUUUUCGGUAGAAGUCAAACCUAAAAUGAAGUUAAGUUUUGAAAAGAAGGGCAAUUAGGUCAUUUGUGCUCGACACCCGCCAGGUGUCGGACAGGCACAGGGUCCGGCUCAAAUUCCAAAGUGGAAUUUAUGUCGGGUUCUGUCAUUUGGUGCGCCUCCAAGUUUUGAUAAUUCCCAUUCUUG
rnacentral:lncRNA from 1 species